AGAAUGUUCUGGGGGUGUUGGUCGCGACCAGAGAAGGGAAAAGGGGGAAACCCUAAUUGCAUGAUUCAACCUCAAAAUUCAGCAAGAUUGUGAAGGAUUAGAGUCAUAAAUCGCAUGCUAGUGUCUAAAUACUCUCUAAUCCAAGUGUUUUGAACAUAAGGAUCGAAAGAAGAAGGAGCUAGUUCCGGAUCACAAACAAAGGCACAAGAUCGAGGUAAAGCACAAGUUUAAUCGUCGUUGCGUCACUCGGAUAUGAACACACCUUGAUCACCCGUGAUGCGCUUCCGCCUCUUUUGUAGUAAUUUCAAAUGUUAAUAGUUUUGUAAUGUCUAGUUGUGUUGAAGUCUUUAAUCUUUAACUAGUCGUUUGCAAGUAUUUAGUACUUAGAACUCAAUGUUUGAAAUGGUGGUUGAAAAUGUUAUGUUCUUUUGGUGUUUUAGGGAAAGUGUCGUAGUUUGAGUAUUUUGAUAAAGUAUAAACAGGGAAUUUGUCCAAGUUACGAAUGGGUCAUGCCCAAAUUUUAAAUUUUUAGGUGAUUAAACUAUGUGUCGUUCUUGUGUCUUUCAAGUACCAAAUUAGAGGGUGUUACAAA